rnacentral:lncRNA from 1 species
UUUUAGUUGUUUACUUUAUUUUAUUUUGCUUUUAGUUAAAGUGUUUUAGAAAAUGCAUGUGCCUGACGAGUCACCAGUAUAGUGUAUCUUUAGUACAUCCUAAUCUUCCCAUUCCUUUAGCCCUACCAAAAUUUUUUGCAAAAGAAAACGGUGUUAUUCUGAAAGUUUUUGGGCUUUAAGACAAGUUUGAGUUAGGAUAUGGUGACUUGGGAGAACUUUUUGAAACAUCAGUAUCGUUUUAGCACCAUAGACUUAAUGAAUAUAGGAAUCACUCCCGAAAC